AUAGAAGUCACCUGGAGUUUUGUUCAAAAUGCGGAUUUUGAUUUAGUAGUAGGGGCUGGAGCCUGAGAUUAUGCAUCUUAAACAAACUCCCAGGUGAUGCGGAU
rnacentral:pre_miRNA from 1 species